AUGACAUCCCGUGGCUUAUACGUUCUGAAAGCAGCUAAGCAUGUCGUUUACGGUGACCUAAAAAACCCACACCUGGCAUUUUCUAUUUACUUUCAGGCUCUGUGCAACCUCCAGGCUUUGACGAGAGGGAAUGCGAAAGGAAAAGUUAAGAGAAACUCAAAAAAUAACCCUACACCCUACUUGGAAAAGCUUUGCGGCAGAGAAAAAUGGACUCAAGCAAGGAAAACCCUGGCCCUGUUAGGCUGGAGGCAGGGCAGAAACGGGAGAAAAAUACAUUGGGAAUUGGAAGAAGCGUACAAAAGACUCACAGCAGUUACUGCUGGAAAACAUCUCAGCAAAACAGAUGGAACCUCAAGUCAAUCAGAUAAAUUAGAUCAGGUUGUGAAUAGAAAUGCUGAAAUUCCAAAAGCAGCACAGACUUUUCCUUGGAGGUGAUGAAACUGGCUUUCCAGUACAGUGCAGACCUUAAGCUUUCUUGUGUGGAUCGGAUGGCCCUACCCAGAAAAGAAAAAAUCCCACGGUCACAAGUGCGGAGAGUCAGAUGGAAAGAAGGAGGUAAGAGGCGAGAGCUGAGCACCAAAGCGAUGAUACCCAAGGGAUGGACAGAAACGCACUGGCUGCAAGCUCAGGAUGGGAUGUCCAGAUGGACUGCUGGCCUCGCUGGAAGCAGCAGCAAAGCUCUCAGUUGCUUCCCGAGGGUCAAGCUUUCUCACUGUUUGUCUGUGCUAUACCCCAAAAUGUCAACAAGUAUGAACAGUCAAAGAUCUGUGUAGUGCUAAAAAACUGUCUUUCUUAAACUAUUUUAUUUUGUUCAUGGACACAUGAGAUUUAGAAAGCUGAGCAAGGUUGCUGUGGUGAACUAACAAAGUAACUCUUGCUUUGCAAAUGUCUGAAAGGACAAGCCAACCAAAUUGCUUUGCAAGAAUGUUUGCUCUUGCAACUCUCUGUGGAAAACUGUUCCAUGCUUCAGUGCUUUGCACUGCUCAGAAACUUUCUGCUUUUCUGCCCGUGAGCCUCUGUUCAGGGCCAAUUUACACCUAGCUUUGUUGUGCCAAUGUUUAUUAUCCUCAUGAUGUAUUCAUAGCCAUGGCCCCAGCAGGCAUUUUUUUUUUCCAGCCUCUGAAGCCUAGCAAAAGUAAUUUUGUGCAUGUGUGGUUCUAAAGAAGUUCUUUGUUUAUUCUGGUGGCAAUGAAAGACAAACCAGAACUACAGAUCUUGAGGAGAUGUUGUUCCCUCUGGUCUCAUGAACAGCACAGGUGCAAGACAGAAUGAUGUGAAUGCUGCUGUUGUUCGCCCUGACUGCAGGCAGCAAUCAGCUCUUGGCGUUCCUGCUCACCUGGUGGGACAACCUCCCCUGAAUGCUCUCCUCUGAGUUCUGUCUUCUCCCUCACAUCAGGUCUUCAGCCUCGUGCCUUCCUUCUGGGCAAGGGAGCAUGAAAUCAGUUUGCUUUCAAAGAGUUCUGCUGCUUUAACACUCCCUAUAGCAAGAUUGUGAGCCUGACUUCAUCGCUAUCUGCUCAGUCACAAAACCAGCUCUGCUCAACUCAGGGCUGAGCAAUGCCUCCCUAACAUGAUUGCUUUUUCCCCACAGGCCCUGGGAGAUUCUUGCGAGCUCUAAUAAGUGAGACAUUAAUGCUAGCUCCUGGCCUAGGAGAGGCUAUCAGGCAAUUUUCUUUGUGUCAGCACUGCUUACUGUACUGAGGGCAGGAGCAGUGUGCCACUCUCCUUCCUGCAAGCUGUGGUUACCAGGGACACAAAGCAGCUCUGACCAGCCAGCAGUGCGAGUCUCCCUGACCCAGGAGCACGCCGACAGGCUGGCACAGCUCCUGACAGCGGCUGGCACAGCUCCUGACAGCUGCUGCCCCAGCAGUGCCUGGCCCGGCCUCUGGGUGCUCGAGGCACACACUUCAGGAGGAAAACGCAGCAGCAGAGUCCCUUGCCACUCUCACCCUUGUCCAGACAGCUCCAGGUACAUCCUGACACAGUGCUUGAACAUGACGCAUGAGCUGCUCCAUCACAGAGACAAGAUGGCACAGAAUUCCUGACUUGGUAAAACCAUGCACUCUCAGUGAGUGCAUUUCACUGCUAACAUAUUGAAGGUACCACCAGUCCUCCAGAACAAACUGCCCCAGGCUUACCUGAAAAUUGCACUAAGUGAUUUUUCUGAUGAUUUCUUUGGCAGUUGAGGCAAAAGGUAAACAAACAAGCUACAAGCACUGUAGAUUAGGCUCUUGUCAUUCCGUGUUUAGUAUUUGCUCAGUAAGCAGUUCAGUGGAACACUCUAGAUAACCCUACACUCUAGGCCUGCCAAAGUAUCCCCCAGAAACUAUUCCCAAAAUGUUAAACUAGAGUCUGUCAUCACUAAAAGAAAUUGUUUCCAGUAUAGCAGAAAUUGGUUUACAGAUGAACCAUUUUAAAUAGAGGAUUACUACAUACACAACUAUCCUAUCAAUGUUUUUCUAUUUACUUCUAUCAUGCUUUUGAAUACCUUUGUUUAAAAAAUAAACUAAACAGAAUGACCGUCUAAUUACCCA
ensembl:lncRNA